AGCAGUGGCGCCCGCUCCGCAAAGCUGCGUGUCCUGGGCCGUGUCGCGCGCCUCGGCUCGUGCGGCUCGGCCCGGGCUGUGGCUGGAGCGACGAUGCCACGGCUCGUGUCCCGGAGCGCCGCCAUCCCGGCCUGCGGGUGUCGCGUUUGUAUACGGUGUAUACUUCAGCAGAGAACAGCUGGGAACUACUGAAAGGAAACUGAAAAUGGCCCUGGAGCUAUGCUAGGUCUAUAAUGGGAAGUGUCACAGUUCGCUAUUUCUGUUAUGGGUGCCUUUUUACAUCUGCAACCUGGACUGUUCUGCUUUUCAUUUAUUUCAACUUCAGUGAAGUGACCCAGCCCCUGAAGAAUGUGCCCAUCAAGGGGUCUGGGCCUCAUGGACCAUUUCCCAAAAAAUUCUACCCACGUUUCACUCGAGGUCCGGGUCGACUAUUAGACCCACAGUUCAAAGCAAACAGAGUUGACGACGUGAUGAAUAAUCAUGUGGAAGAUCCAGAUGAAGGCCUCUCAAAAUCCUCCUCUGAGCUGGGUAUGAUUUUCAAUGAACGUGAUCAGGAAUUGAGAGACCUGGGCUACCAGAAACAUGCGUUUAAUAUGCUUAUUAGUAACCGAUUGGGAUACCACAGAGAUGUGCCAGACACCAGGAAUGCAGAGUGCAGGGUGAAGUCCUACCCGACUGACCUGCCCGCUGCUAGCGUUGUUAUCUGCUUCUACAACGAAGCCUUCUCUGCAUUGCUGCGGACUGUGCACAGUGUUGUGGACCGCACGCCAGCACACCUUCUUCACGAGAUCAUCCUUGUGGAUGACAGCAGUGACUUUGAUGAUUUAAAAGGAGAACUAGAUGAAUACAUCCAAAGAUACCUGCCUGCAAAAGUCAAGGUCAUAAGAAAUACGAAGCGUGAGGGCUUGAUCCGAGGACGGAUGAUUGGAGCAGCCCAUGCUACAGGAGAAGUCCUAGUGUUCCUGGACAGCCAUUGUGAAGUGAAUGUGAUGUGGUUACAGCCCUUGCUGGCCGUCAUCCGUGAGGACCCGCACACUGUGGUGUGCCCUGUGAUCGACAUCAUCAGCGCUGACACGCUUGCUUACAGCUCAUCUCCAGUGGUUCGAGGAGGUUUCAACUGGGGGCUGCACUUCAAGUGGGAUCUAGUUCCGGAAUCUGAGCUGGGGGGACCUGAAGGAGCCACGGCCCCAAUAAGGUCACCUACAAUGGCUGGAGGAUUGUUUGCCAUGAACAGACAGUAUUUCAAUGACCUUGGACAGUACGACAGUGGCAUGGAUAUCUGGGGAGGAGAAAAUCUGGAAAUCUCAUUUCGGAUCUGGAUGUGUGGCGGUAAGCUCUUCAUCAUCCCUUGCUCAAGAGUAGGGCACAUUUUCCGAAAAAGGCGGCCCUACGGAUCUCCUGAAGGCCAGGAUACCAUGACACACAACUCCCUGAGACUGGCGCAUGUCUGGCUGGAUGAGUACAAGGAGCAGUAUUUUUCCUUAAGACCUGAUUUGAAGACGAAAACCUUUGGAAAUAUCAGUGACCGUGUUGAACUGAGGAAGAAAUUGGGCUGUCAAUCAUUCAAGUGGUAUCUGGAUAACAUUUACCCAGAGAUGCAGAUUCCUGGCCCAAAUGCCAAACCUCCGCAGCCCAUUUUCAUCAACAGAGGACCCAAGCGCCCUAGAGUCUUGCUGCGUGGAAGGCUCUACCACUUGCAGACCAACAAAUGCCUAGUGGCCCAGGGCCGCUCCAGCCAGAAAGGAAGCCUGGUGCUGCUUAAGGCCUGUGACUACGGAGACCCAACUCAGUUUAUUCAGGAACAUUGAACAAUCCUCGGACCCCGGGGAAAGCCAGCCCACAGCUUAAAUAGCCUCUGGGUAGCCAACCCAGGCGUGCCACGGGGGCAAUGCAGAUAGGUCCACAUACAUGGAAGCAAGCCAGAUCCUCGGCCUUAGCCAAAUGUGGAGUUGUUCCUGACAGAGAGCACUCACCAUCGGGAAGGUGGAGGGAGGAAGCAUUCUGCAGCUCUCUACAGUUCCCCCUUUUUGUUUUAGACGCAUCAGGCAAGAGUAGAGGUCUGAUCUCUGAUAUUAGAAAUAAAUUGGGACUUUGUACAGAUGUUCAUUUAGGUGUCAUCCACCCAAAGAGCAUCGGACCCGUCCGAUACCUUUUUCUCAGAGGCGGGACCUGGGGCAUCAACCCGCAUGCAAUCAGACAUGCUCUUCUCUGGGUCCAAAGCGGCUGACCCUGAGUGCAGUGCUUAGCCUCGCAUCCUGAGCGUAUCAUUUUAGCUUUUUAUGGUAUCCAACCAUGCUUGGGGAGAAUGUCUUGCUUCAAUGGCUGUAAAGGCCUGAAUGAAUGAAAGUAUGCUGGACUUUGUGUCACUAGCAUACAACAUGAGAAUUUUUCCUGCGCUGCAAAUCUGUCUAAACAAUUGUCGAGCUAUAUUUUAGGUAAUUGGACUGGAGAAUUCGAUACUACGAUGGAGCAGCUGAGAGUGGCCAUUGUCACAGUAAAUUCUACCGGAGUGGACGCAGGACUAGCCACAGGAUUAUCAACAUGGAUUGCUGCAGCCAUGAAUCAUCUGAAGGAAUGGGCGGGCAUGGGAGUGUUAGCAGGCCUUCUGGUGUUGGUCUCCUUGGUUUGCCUGUGGUAUAUAUGCAAGAUUAGAGUCUCACAACAGUGUGAUGCAGCCAUGAUCAUUCAGGCCUUUACAGCCAUUGAAGCAAGACAUUCUCCCCAAGCAUGGUUGGAUACCAUAAAAAGCUAAAAUGAUACGCUCAGGAUCCUGAUCAAUUUUUACAGCUCAUUAAAUGACACUGCAGCAAAAGUUUGGUUCAUUUCAUCCACUUACUUUCACUUAGCUUGUCUUUUCGAUAUUAAAAUAGAAGCAAAUAAAUCCUUCCCUUAUGUCACUGUAAUUUCAUGGCCUAACCAUGAUAUAAGCUGGGAGCUCUGUCACGGCUGGCCCAUGUGACUGUCAUACCAUGUUGGUGGUGCAUUGGCAUCACACAGGAGUGGGAAAAACCUAGGCCUUUGAUACAUGCAGAGCAUACUUGCACAUUUCUUGCGUCUACUGCUUUUACCUGACUGAGUACAUGAGUGUGCACACAUAGAGGAAUGGAACUGAGGUCAUGGGCCUUGGCAGCAAUCGCUUUUCCCCACUGAGCUGUCUAAUGGGCCCAAGUUAAAUGGCUUUAAAUGCAGUGAGUUCUGGCCAUGCAAGACUACACUAAUACUAUAGCUAUUCAUAGUCAACGCAUAGUGAACAUGGCAGUUGCUCAGCUGCACUGGAUUCGGGUGGGUGGUCAGUGCUGGGUCUGAAACAGAAGCACAGGAUUGGAGCAGGGCUUUCCAGCACGUGCUACAGAGUUUCUCACUGCAAAAUACUCAUUCUGUUUGAGGCCUGGGCCUAAAACCAAGAUUAUUCACAUUCACACCCAAGGGAACCCCUGCCUCAGCGUGUUCCAGAUGAGACCCUCACUGUUCAGCUGACAUUUACUAUCACUGCCUGGAACUGGGUUGUGACACUCUGCAGAAGGGCUGGCCUGGACCACCUGAAGCACAUCUCACCCAGCAGAUGUGGGCUGUGAUCUGGAUUUACAAUGAAGAGCAUGAAUUGAUUUUAAACAACCUCCUUUGCCUCGACAUGUCGGAAACUCGUUCAUCAGAUCCACCCCGUCUCAUGAAGUGCCACGGCUCGGGAGGGUCCCAACAAUGGACUUUUGGG